CUCGUCCAGAAUGACCAGCCUCAUUGUGUCAGUUCACUACAUGCAUCAGGAUAUAAACAUGUUACAGACUGAAAGGCUGGAAAAAAACAGCAGCAGAGUUUAAUCUCAAAGUUCUGUGAAGACUUCGGGCCAUGUCCGGAGUUAAGAGGGUUCACACUCUUCCUAGAGGUGUCCAAGUCCUGGAAGCGUGGCAGGUAGCGGCCAAUCACCAUCUCCACAUUCAGGAUCUGUGCCAGCGUCCAUGGCGGCUUAGAGGUGCACUGUCCUUUUCUUUUAUUCACUUUCAUUAUAUCAUAUACCAUAUAUAUAUUUUUUUUUUCUUUAGCAGUUAUGUGUCUUGUUGGGACAAAUGAAGAAAUUAUGUUCAAGUCAGUCAUAUUUGCAGUGUUCUAUUAAUAAACUUUAAAGUAUUUCGGAGCGAUGAAUAUUUGUGCUUACAUUCAAGUCAGUUUCCCGUUCUUUUCAUUUUGCAAUAGACUGUGAAGAACUCUGGAAAGCCUGUCAGUGUAAAUGACUCACUGUAGUAUUGAUCUGCAAACAGACCAUAAACAGUGUUUCUACAUUCAUUGGAAAUGAGGCUUGCCCCACAACGAUAAAGAUUUAUUAAACAUUUAUAAAUCUAAUCAAACCAAACAAAAUCCGAUGCACAUUUGUCUUUGUGUACGGAGUUAUGCAUCUGAAACUGCAACUCUGACUAACACACCUUUUAGUACCACGAGAUUAUGUCCAAACUACAAUUUCAGUAUUUGUACUUCAAUAUUUCUGUUCCAGGGUACUUCACACUUCAACUGCACAUGAAAUGCUUUUGCCGUUAAAUUCCAGAAUGAGAUUUAAAACAAAACACACACAUAACCAACUUAAGUUUGUAAAACUUUAUCUUGUAACAUACUCCUUGAGAGGGAAAAUGUACAAUACAAUUUUCAACUUAUUCAAUGCACAAGAGUCAAGUGUUGGUUUGUAUCUGGGAUCUGGAGUGAACUGUCAGAGAGGUAGAAGAGUGAAAGUAAAACCUGUUCCAUAUUUAUCUCUGCAGUGGAACAUAA